rnacentral:rRNA from 1 species
AUUGAACGCUGGCGGGAGCCCUAACACAUGCAAGUCGAGCGAGCGGCGGACGGGUGAGUAAUGUAUGGGGACUGCCCGCUAGAGGGGGAUAACUACUGGAAACGGACGCUAAUAACGCAUACUAUCGGAUAACCCAUAUGGGAUUAGCUAGUUGGUGUGGUAAAGGCACACCUAGGGGACGAUCGCUAGCUGGUCUGAGAGGCUGAUCAGCCACACUGGGGCUGAGACACGGCCCAGACUCCUACGGAGGCAGCAUGGGGGAAUAUUGCACAAUGGGAGCAAGCCUGAUGCCGCCAUGCCGCGUGUAUGAAGAAGGCCUUAGGGUUGUAAAGUACUUUCAGCGGGGAGGCGUUACCCGCAGAAGAAGCACCGGCUAACUCCGUGCCAGCAGCCGCGGUAAUAC